GCUACCGCUCUUCUAAUUAGUAACAUUCAGGCGAGAAAUUAACUUUUGAAGAAUUCUGGCUUUUUUUCGCUUUUGAUUUUGGCAAACAUUUUUCGGAAUGGAAGUGGCAUAAUAAUGAAAGAACCCUUUGGCGGAUGUCCGGAUGUGUUCAUUGAUUUACACACUGUGCAAAUACCUCGCAAUCAUUCGUAUACAAAGUAUGCCCAACUGAAGUGAAAGUAAAAAUAUUUAAGAUAAUGUCAAUAUGCUAAUAAGGGAUAAUCAUGUUUCUAUAAUAUAUUUAAAACUUAGC